CUCUACAGCCAUGCUACCCUGAACAUGCCUGAUCUCAUUUGAUCUUGGAAGCUAAGCAGGGUCGGGCCUGGUUAGUACUUGGGUGGGAGGAAUAAAGAGAGCAGGGGGCAAUGGGUG
rfam:Chlorocebus sabaeus isolate 1994-021 chromosome 26, whole genome shotgun sequence.